rnacentral:lncRNA from 10 species
UACAAAAGCAAAAUGGGAAAAUGGCAAACAGAUCCUUUUCAAUUAGCUGCUGCAUUUAUCUCUUCCCCCAAAAGAGAAUCUUCUGCUGCUUCUGCUUCUUCAUCUGCACAACGGGGAUGUAGCCAUCAUACAUGCCUGCAAGGCUGUAGUGAGAUCCUGGACAUGAAAGCAUUCUGAAAACUGAAAAGUACAAUGCACCUGUGUUUCUGCCUAAGCUCUCUAAGCGUGACAGCAGGAGCGCCCGGGUCUCCAUCCCGGAGAGAUGUGUCCACACUCCGCCGCCACUGCUCUCUUCAUCAGCAACUUGCUUCUGCAGUCGCUGCCCAAAGUUUCGCGGAGCACCCGGCGACCUGGCCGUCGGUCAAUCCUGAGAAGCCCAGGGAUUCGGGGCGCGGAGACUGGGGGCUGGGCCCCGGGAAUCCCAAAGACGUCCCCGCGGCCAGGAAGGGAGUGACAGGUGCGACGCGCGGUCGCGGGCGGCGGGAGAGCGGACCACGGAAACCGCGUGUGGGCGCGCGAGGGAGGCGGCGGCCACGCGCUCUCCUUAGGCCGCUCCCUGAGACGCCCCCGCGACGUCCCUAGCCCCGCGCUCUGGAACCCGCGACCCUCGCGCCGCUUUCGGCCCCGCGGCGCCCCAGAUCCCACGGCCUCCCGGAGCGGCGCAGCUGGGUCGGGCUCACGCUCGCAGCGCCGGAAGGGUUGAGGACCGCCGGGGGCACCGUGCGCACGGGGUUCUUCCCGCGCGAACCGGGGCUGUCGGGGGGUGGGCGCACGCGCACCCGGGCGCGCCGCCGUAACCCCUUCCUCCCCGCGCGGCCCCCGCACUCCCACCCACCCACCACUCACCGUCGAUGUCUCCCAGGGUCAGCUCGUCGCCCAGCUCCGUGAGGGUCUCCAUGGUCUCCAGACCACCCAGCUCGCCGCUGUCGUCCAUCGCCCGGCUCAGCGCAGAAGCCCCCCCUGCCGUCCCGCUCAGGGAGACGCGGGGGCGGUGCCGUCGCCACCGCCCAUGACACCCGACAACCCCCGCCCGGCACCGCCUCACCGACGGGUGCCACCCGCCGCCAUGUUUGCGUUGCGCCCGGGCGCCGCACAGAAAGGGCGGGGCGGGAUUCCCCCGCCCCAGCCCGCGCCCCCUGCGGCCCCGCCUCCAGGCCGCGCGCCCCCCUGUUUGUUGUCAAUGGGACCAGGCUCAUCUCAGCCAAUGGGCGAGCGAAGCGGUGCGUGGGGUGAUGGCGCGUCAUCGAUCAGCAGCUCAGAUUUGCAUAGUGAGGUCCCUCCCCCCGCGGCCUCGGAGCGAAUGCCUGGAGUAGCCGUCCGGUCAUCAUCUUAACCUUCUCCGCCUUGUUUAAAGGAGCCGCUGCCUUCUCCGUUGGAUCUGCGCCACACGCAAGUCCGUCCACUGGCCUGGGAGUGAAGGGUUAACAGGCCACCCUCCACCUGCGACCGCUGGCCGCCUCCAGGCCUGGCUGGGAGCACAUUACGUCAUCUUCCCAGCUGCCUACCCCCGCCCUGCCCGCCUGAGAAAGCCAGCGGAGUCAAACCUGGACCCCAGCGCUCGGGACGGGAGUCCGGGUCAUCCAAGUCCCGCUUCUCCCAGCCUCCUUACAAAGGCGGGCACGGAGGCUUGACAAGGUUGCAGAUUGUCCCAGGGCGGUCAGGAUUUUACGUCUUCUGCUUUGCACCCGCCGUGACCUCGCGCUUACUCCAGUGGUCCUCAAUCUCUGGCACCUCGGAACCACUGAGGACCUGAAAACCACGCCAGUGCCCAGGCCCACCGACGGCCUCCUGAGAGGGGGGCCCCGGGCACGAGUUUUUUGAAAAAGUUCCACCGGGAUUCUGAAGUGCAGCCCACCCACUCCUUCAAGCACCUCACUGCCCCAUCUUGCAGCUGGUCGUGUUGUAAACUUCUAGGAAUUUAUCCAAAGGAAUAAAAAUUACAAGUGCUUAAAGAAGUGCUGUAACUAGGAAGAAGUGAGAAUAAGGAAAUGAAUAUGUAAAUUACAUCCACACGAUGGAAUACCAUGGGAUCAUUAAAAAUUACGCACACAAAUGUAUAUUUAUUAGCAAGAAAAGGCGUUCACAAUAUAUUGAUAAAAGGGAAAAGUUGAAGUUUCCUGCCAGUUUGUGAGAGGCAGCUGUUGCUUAGUGAUCAAUAAUUAAGAACACACAGGCUGUGUGGAGGCAGACACAUGGAUCCACUAAUUCACUGUGACCUUGGGUUAAUUGUUCUAAGCCUCAGUUUAGUCAUCUCUAAAAUGGGGAUAAAAUAGCAUCCCUCAUAGCUGUGGUUAAGUGAGAUUAUUUGCACAUUCAAUUGACAAUAUUUAUUGAACAUCUCUGUGGCAGGGAAACAAAUGGUUCCUGCCCUCUGAGAGCUUCCAGUCUAGCAAAAAAAAAAAUCAGAAAUCCCACACCCGUAUUAAACAUAAAAAUAAAUUACAGAUGAUGGUACAAGUGAUCAAGGAAAGGUAAUGGAUGUGAUGAAACUAACAAGGGCCCUGACUUGUGCUGUCAAGAAGCCUCUGAAGAAGUGACAUUUAAGAUGAAACCUAAAAUUAUGAGAGAACUGCAGCUGUUACAGCCAAAGGGGAAAUGAUGACAUGGACAAAGGCCUCGAGGCAGGAGGAGCUGCUGGCAGCCAGCUCUCGGCAUAAGCUUUGGCAUACAGUAAGUGCCUUGCAUACUGCUGUAUUGCAAUUGAAAAAAUAAGGAUCUGGCCAGGCGCGGUGGCUCACACCGGUAAUUCCAGCACUUUAGGAGGCCGAGGUGUGCAGAUCAUUUGAGGUCAGGAGUUGGAGACCAGCCUGACCAACAUGGUGAAACCCCGUCUCUACUAAAAAUACAAAAAUUAGCCGGGUGUGGUGGCGCAUGCCUGUAAUCCCAGCUAACCGGUAGGAGAACUGCCGGAACCUGGGAGAUAGAGGCUGCAGUGAGCUGAGAUCAUGUCGCUGCACUCCAGCCUGGGAGACAGAGCAAGACUCUGUCU